UGGGGAAUAUUGCACAAUGGGCGCAAGCCUGAUGCAGCCAUGCCGCGUGUAUGAAGAAGGCCUUCGGGUUGUAAAGUACUUUCAGCGGGGAGGAAGGGAGUAAAGUUAAUACCUUUGCUCAUUGACGUUACCCGCAGAAGAAGCACCGGCUAACUCCGUGCCAGCAGCCGCGGUAAUACGGAGGGUGCAAGCGUUAAUCGGAAUUACUGGGCGUAAAGCGCACGCAGGCGGUUUGUUAAGUCAGAUGUGAAAUCCCCGGGCUCAACCUGGGAACUGCAUCUGAUACUGGCAAGCUUGAGUCUCGUAGAGGGGGGUAGAAUUCCAGGUGUAGCGGUGAAAUGCGUAGAGAUCUGGAGGAAUACCGGUGGCGAAGGCGGCCCCGUGGACGAAGACUGACGCUCAGGUGCGAAAGCGUGGGGAGCAAACAGG
rnacentral:rRNA from 1 species